ensembl:lncRNA
GUCUCACAAGAUCUGUGGGUUUAUCAGGGGUUUUCGCUUUUGCUUCUUCCUUAUUUUUUCUCUGUUACCACCAUGUAAGAAGUGCCCUUGACCUCCCGCCAUAAUUCUGAGGCCUCUCCAGCCAUGUGGAACUCUUCAAGUUCUCUGUGUUCAGAUUUCUUCAGGAAGAAAAUAAUAUAAUGAAUCACCGGGUAUCCAACACAUUGGGCCUCUCAGUGGUGAGAAAGCAUUUGAAUGAGUUUCGUCGACAAAUGUUCACCACCCAGCAAUGGGACUGGCACGAGGAUGAAGGAAUCAGUACACCAUCAGAGAAGGAAUGCAGAUUUUCACCUAUCCACAAAGCUUGGCAAGCUCUUUACUGGUAGGGGAUAAGGCCUUACUAGACUAAGUACAUGAAAUCAUUAAGUAAAACAAAAUGUUUCAUUAAAAAUGUCAAGUGGGCAGCUUAAGGUCAAGUGAGACAGAUUUGGCCUGAAGGCUUUAUGUUGUUGUGUACACUUACAGAAAAGAAUCCAUAAAAAGAGCUCAGCUGGGAAGUUGAAAACACAUGUAAUGUAGAUUACACAUUUCAAGGAGCCACAGUGUAAAUUUCUUUCAGUUUAUUCUACUUCUUUCAGCCCUUACACACAGGCAUUGUGACCAACACUUCUUUUUAUGCCUGGCCCAAUCUCAGCAAACAUUAAGGAACCCCUGGGCACCAGGCACUGUGCUUGGAACCUCCCUUUAAUCUGCACACAGCCUUCUGAGACAGAGGUCAUUAACGCCAAUUUUAUUGAUGAAUAAAUAGUCUUAUAAAGGUUAAGGGGCAUUCAAGCCUCACUGCCAGCAUCCUUG